rnacentral:rRNA from 1 species
AACGCGAAGAACCUUACCUACCCUUGACAUGUCUGGAAUCCUAAAGAGAUUUGGGAGUGCCCGAAAGGGAAUCAGAACACAGGUGCUGCAUGGCUGUCGUCAGCUCGUGUCGUGAGAUGUUGGGUUAAGUCCCGCAACGAGCGCAACCCUUGUCAUUAGUUGCUACGCAAGAGCACUCUAAUGAGACUGCCGGUGACAAACCGGAGGAAGGUGGGGAUGACGUCAAGUCCUCAUGGCCCUCAUGGGUAGGGCUUCACACGUCAUACAAUGGUCGGUACAGAGGGUUGCCAACCCGUGAGGGGGAGCUAAUCCCAGAAAGCCGAUCGUAGUCCGGAUCGUAGUCUGCAACUCGACUACGUGAAGUCGGAAUCGCUAGUAAUCGCGGAUCAGCAUGUCGCGGUGAAUACGUUCCCGGGUCUUGUACACACCG